CCUACGGGAGGCAGCAGUGAGGAAUAUUGGUCAAUGGCCGGAAGGCUGAACCAGCCAUGCCGCGUGAAGGUCAGUGCCCUAUGGGCGUUAAACUUCUUUUGUGCGGGAGCAAUAAUGGUCACGUGUGGCCAGACGAGAGUACCGUACGACUAAGCAUCGGCUAACUCCGUGCCAGCAGCCGCGGUAAUACGGGUGAUGCAAGCGUUAUCCGGAAUUAUUGGGUUGAAACGGUGCGUAAGCUGGGAGGUAAGUCAGCGGUGAAAUGCCCCCGCUCAACGGGGUGAAGUGCCAUUGAUACUGGCUUGCGGGAAUGCGGAUGCGGUGGGAGGAAUGUGUGGUGUAGCGGUGAAAUGCAUAGAUAUCACAAAGAACACCGAUGGCGAAGGCAUCUCACGAAUCCGCGAUUGACGCUGAUGCACGAAAGCGUGGGGAGCAAACAGGAUUAGAUACCCGGGUAGUC
rnacentral:rRNA from 1 species